rnacentral:rRNA from 1 species
GAUGAACGCUGGCGGCAUGCCUAAGACAUGCAAGUCGUACGAGAUGGCCCAAUGAAGUUUGAGUGCUUGCACAAUUUCUGAUUUGGUUUCCAUCUAGUGGCGGACGGGUGAGUAACACGUGGGUGACCUACCUUUGAGUUUGGGAUAACUACUGGAAACGGUAGCUAAUACCGAAUGAUAUGCAGUUUCAUUUCUGCAUUAAAAGGCGCUUUCAAGCGUCGCUCUUAGAUGGGCCUGCGGCGUAUUAGCUAGUUGGUGGGGUAACGGCCUACCAAGGCAACGAUGCGUAGCCGGACUGAGAGGUUGAACGGCCACAUUGGGACUGAGACACGGCCCAAAUCCUAACGGGAGACAGCAGUUAGGAAUAUUCGUCAAUGGGGGAAACCCUGAACGAGCAAUGACCGCGUGAAUGAUGACGGUCCUCUGGAUUGUAAAAUUCUGUUGUUGGGGAAGAACGAUUGGUAUAGGAAU